rnacentral:rRNA from 1 species
UACGGAGGGGGCUAGCGUUAUUCGGAAUUACUGGGCGUAAAGCGCACGUAGGCGGAUUAGAAAGUCAGAGGUGAAAUCCCAGGGCUCAACCUUGGAACUGCCUUUGAAACUCCUGGUCUUGAGAUCGUGAGAGGUGAGUGGAAUUCCGAGUGUAGAGGUGAAAUUCGUAGAUAUUCGGAGGAACACCAGUGGCGAAGGCGGCUCACUGGCACGAUACUGACGCUGAGGUGCGAAAGCGUGGGGAGCAAACAGG